rnacentral:rRNA from 1 species
UACAGAGGGGGCAAGCGUUGUUCGGAAUUACUGGGCGUAAAGGGCGCGUAGGCGGCCUUCUAAGUCGAACGUGAAAUCCCCGGGCUCAACCCGGGAACUGCGUCCGAUACUGGAUGGCUUGAAUCCGGGAGAGGGAUGCAGAAUUCCAGGUGUAGCGGUGAAAUGCGUAGAUAUCUGGAGGAACAUCGGUGGCGAAGGCGGCAUCCUGGACCGAUAUUGACGCUGAGGCGCGAAAGCCAGGGGAGCAAACGGG